GACGAACGCUGGCGGCGCGCUUAACACAUGCAAGUCGAGCGAAGCGGCGGACGGGUGAGUAACACGUGAGUAACCUGCCUUAGACGUUGGGAUAGCCUCGGGAAACCGGGAUUAAUACCACAUGGUCUAAGAUGGACUCGUGUCCCAUUAGCUAGUUGGGAGGUAACGGCCAACCAAGGCGACGAUGGGUAGCCGGCCUGAGAGGUGUAACGGCCACAUUGGAACUGAGAAACGGUCCAAACUCUACGGGAGGCAGCAGUGGGGAUUAUUGCACAAUGGAGGGAACUCUGAUGCAGCGACGCCGCGUGAACGAAAAAGGUUUUCGAGUCGUAAAGUUCUUUUAUAUGGGAAGCGGUACCAUAAGAAAAAGCCCCGGCUAACUACGUGCCAGCAGCCGCGGUAAUUC
rnacentral:rRNA from 1 species